UAGGUUACUGGCCUUUGGCAAAGGGACCUUACUUAUAUAACCAAAUUUUGUUUGGCCUUCCCUGAAUCCUUAGUAAUUGCAAAGAUUGCAGAGUUUCCUCGAGGCCAGGGUAGUCUAUAUAAAAAUGAGACGAGUGUAAAUUGAUUAAAGCAGCUAGCAAGAGUACUCUUUCUUGUCAUGAACCGAGUAUUUACAUUUCAGGUUAAAUCGGCAAACCCCAUAUUGCAGUAUCUAUAUCCCAAUACUUGUGCUCAAUAUGCGUAUAUAUGAUGUGUAUAAUAUUGUUAAAUAAUCUUGGUGCUAAAUUCAUAUUAUCAACCACUGCAUUAUAGUACCUCUCCCUCUGCUAUCAUUGCAGCAUCAUGAUCACGCCCAGUGAAUCAUUUGCAUGUCUUGUUUUAGGCUCCAGACACCUCCUAUAUAACCCCAAAAAGGAAGAAACGUACAGAAAUUAAGAAUCCUGGCCGAAAAGGAUCCUUGAUUUUGCACACUUGCUUAGUUAGUACAGCUGACAAAAAAAAAAAAAAAAAAAAGAAGGGAGAAAGGGGAAUGGCAUUAAAGACGUACGAGCGUGCUUAUUUUCCCAAAUGAUACUACAUGCACAGAGCUAGCUGGCCAAAUGCAUGCGAGCUAGCUACCUUAAUUCCUGUGGCUCAGGUUAUUGGAGGUAUAUACUUUUCCUUUUUGUUCACGACAUGGGACGUGGGCCAGUUAUCCAUGUGAACAAUUUACUGGCAUGCACAUGCAUGAUGAAUCGAUCGCACUAUUUUCCCAGCUUCAAAGAACCAAGCAAAACAAAAGUGAAAGCAGCUGGCCGGCAGGUUGUACGUACUCUGAGUACGUAUGAUGAUCAGUUGCCUUUUUAGUCGAACCUUCUGGUUGUGGCUCUGCAGAAAUGGAAAAUUGGGCUUAGAGGAUAUUCCUUUAAUUAACUUUAGUUUAGUAAUCUUGAGACCGAUAUUGUGAUUUGAUGACGUCAGUCAGAUAGAGUUCUUCUUGAGUUGAUAUAAACGUUUAUAAAGGCUUGUAUCUACUUUCAGUCGGUCAUAAACUGGUUCCCACCUUUUUUCUUCCCCUUCCUGAUUAACGGCCAGUACUUCCCAUCUUCCAUUCUAUCAGAUGAAAAAUGCUAAUUGCAAGCGCAGGAGGCAAUUGGCGUGCAAACAGCUCUGUCACGUCAGUAUUGUCAUUUUUUCUUUCCUCUUUUAAUUUUGUUCGUCUCUCUCUUAGUCCCUCCCUCUCCGUUUCCUCUCCUUUUUCUUCCAACGGACCAUUUCCUCUCUCUCUCUCUCUCUCUCUCUCGUAUAAGCAGAUAGCCACCAUUCUAAAUAAACUUCAAACUACUAUUUUUCUUUCUUCUUUUUCGGCGUUUCUCUCUCUACUUUUUCCUUUUCCGUUGUUUGGUCUGAUUGUGAGCUGAAAAGCAUGGGAUCGGUCUCUCUCUCUCAACCUCGAUUGAAAUACGGUUGAGUAUUUGUUGAGUGAACAGUAAAGAAAUAUAGAGUCAUUUUUGUUUUGAAGCCUCUGCUAUUUACGGCCGUAGUACAUUGACGUUUUUGCUCUUUUUUAUGUCAACCUCUGUUGUUUCUCUUUCUCUUCUUUACUUAUUUUUUCUCCUCUUUACUUAUUUUUUUAUCAAUUCUACUACGUACAGUCGUCCUGUGUAAGCGUGGCUGAUGUGGUUAAAUAAAAUAAAAACGCACCAUUUUGAACACGACUGAUCGUGAGUCGCUUUGUCAAAGAUGAAAGCAACUAUGGAGCUGCAGGAGACCAACAACUAUGGAGUCGAAGAUGAAAGCAGAGAUGAAGGAAGAUUAUCUGUUUAGAGCGCAUUUUAGAUUUUCAAAAGUUUCUCCACUUUUAAAGUUGCCCGAUGAGAGAAAGUGUAGAAGAAAUCUUGUACAGGCUGUAUAUGAAUACACUGGGAAGAGAAUUGGGAUGUAACUGUUACAAUUUUUGCCACUAUAAAAAAAAAAAUUGUUGUGUAUAGAAGCAGUGAAGCACCUUUCUCAUUCAGACAACGGUAGUGGGUUCUACGAGAAAGAACAGGCUCAUAGAGGUAUAGGCGCGUGGGGCAAUUUUAGGAGAUUUCAUUUUGCUUUGGUUUCACUAGGGCUUUCUAAGGGGAGAUGGCUGCCGUUGGGGGCUCUAAGGGCCCUCCGACGGUGGCAAAGAGGAGUCAUUCCUUUGCAAAGCUGGUGUCGAUCAUGCCUCAGCACAUCCCUGAGCUUGUGGUCCCAUUUUGGUCUCCAAAAGUUGUAGAUGGGGGAGGUUUUCGUUCAGUUUUCCAGAGGCAAAGUUGAGCGAUUUGCGGUCCAUUUUCGAUUUGCUAUAGUGAUGAAGUUUCUGAGGCAAAGGUCUUCAUUAGAUCGGAUCCGAGUAUUUAGGUUUCUUAGCUCCCUCCUUUUUCUUUCCAACUCACUUUCAUACUCUCACUCACCUCUCUCCCACCCCACCCUUCCAUCUUCCAAACCAAGCAAGCCCACGCUUGCAUCAUCGUCCACAGCCUUGCCUCUGAUGCUGUCGUCUUGGGUCAUGACCUUCUUUCUUGUCUUGCUCUUGCCCCAUCGUCCUCCUUGGUUACCCGAACGUUUUUGCCUCUAACAACAUGAUUUGAUGAUCGCUAAGAGUCAAGAGCGACUCGCCUCAUAGAUCAGUUGUAUCCAAAACGGUGCGUUUUCAAUUUAUUUGGCCACAUCAUGCGCUUACACGACGCUUACAUGGGGCGACUGAGUUUAGAGUUUUUCUUUUUUUAUUGUUCUCAGUUUUAUUAUUAGGGCUUUGCUACAUGCAGUCGGAAAAUACAGUCGGCAUGCAGUCGGCUGUACGAAAUGAAUAAAAAAAAAUUAUAAAAAAAUUAUUUUAUAUUCAGGGAGACCUACAUGAAUUAUAAAAAGUUAUAAAAAUAAUUUUUUUUUUUUUUUAUGUAAGUCCCGUAUUAAUUUUUUUUUUUACAAUCGACUGCACGCCGACUGCAUUUCCCGACUGCACAAAUCAUUUCUGUUAUUAUUAUUAUUAUAAAAUGUACAAUUGUUUACCUCCCGCUUGCACACCAUGUUUGUACCCAGCAGAAUUGUUAUCAAAUAUGGCAAUUGUACUGUUAGCAGAGAGUAGUACUUCUAAUAAAGUUGAUACAAUUUUAUACUUUUC